AAUGAACGCUGGCGGCAUGCCUAACACAUGCAAGUCGAACGAAGCCUUCGGGUUUAGUGGCGCACGGGUGCGUAACGCGUGGGAAUCUGCCCCUUGGUUCGGAAUAACAGUUGGAAACGACUGCUAAUACCGGAUGAUGACGUAAGUCCAAAGAUUUAUCGCCGAGGGAUGAGCCCGCGUAGGAUUAGGUAGUUGGUGUGGUAAAGGCGCACCAAGCCGACGAUCCUUAGCUGGUCUGAGAGGAUGAUCAGCCACACUGGGACUGAGACACGGCCCAGACUCCUACGGGAGGCAGCAGUGGGGAAUAUUGGACAAUGGGCGAAAGCCUGAUCCAGCAAUGCCGCGUGAGUGAUGAAGGCCUUAGGGUUGUAAAGCUCUUUUACCCGGGAUGAUAAUGACAGUACCGGGAGAAUAAGCUCCGGCUAACUCCGUGCCAGCAGCCGCGGUAAUACGGAGGGAGCUAGCGUUAUUCGGAAUUACUGGGCGUAAAGCGCACGUAGGCGGCUUUGUAAGUAAGAGGUGAAAGCCCAGAGCUCAACUCUGGAAUUGCCUUUUAGACUGCAUCGCUUGAAUCAUGGAGAGGUCAGUGGAAUUCCGAGUGUAGAGGUGAAAUUCGUAGAUAUUCGGAAGAACACCAGUGGCGAAGGCGGCUGACUGGACAUGUAUUGACGCUGAGGUGCGAAAGCGUGGGGAGCAAACAGG
rnacentral:rRNA from 1 species